AGGAGGUGUGAGCAUGACGGUCAACAGUGAUCGCAAAAGGUUACAGCCCAUGGAGAAAGACCUCACUUGGUUAGUGCUGGUUCACAUAAGGAAGGUAGAAAGCCACCCUCAACAACCCUCACUGUGGUUGUAUAGCCAUUAUCCUGGGGCCUGGCCGGGAGCAGGGGUCUUGGGACAUCCCUGGCUUCUCUCCUGCCUGAACACAUGGCAUUAGAGCCAGCCUGUGCCACAGAGGGGCCACCUGCCACCCAGACUGUCAAGACAUAACGUAGGGCAAGGCCAGCUCAUAUAGGGCCUGAGGAUCAAGAAGGAGCAGGAUGCUGCAGGGACAUCAGGAAGGGACUCUGUGGCCUGGUUGGUGGUUUUGGUCAUAAAGGACCUGUCCUCGAGUGCGGAGACACCUCUGUGUAGGAGCAAGAGGCAGAGUGAAGGGGCAGCUCAGCAUUCUCUUCAGACACAGCUUCUGUAAAUUCAGUUGUUUCAAAUUAAAUUUUAAAAACAGUCAAAUGUGGCUCAUCAAAGUGAUUUCUCAAAGCUGUGCAGUUGACCUGGGCACCAAGCUCCUUGUUCCUGGCAGAGCAGCUGUGCCAGGAACCACGGCACCGCAGUCCCUGUGGUCUGAGUGGAACCAGCGACUGUCAUCUACAUAUGGCAUCGUGUAUCACAGGAAUGCAUGUGCAGGACUUGGACCAGUGUACGGUGCAGAGGAACCACUUUGUAGUCCUUAGUUUCCUUUUUAAAAUGAGGGCAGAUCCCUGUCCUCAAGUGCUCAUAGCAUUUCUAAACCUU
rnacentral:lncRNA from 1 species